rnacentral:rRNA from 1 species
CCGGUUGAUCCUGCCGGAGGUUACUGCUAUCGAGGUUCGACUAAGCCAUGCGAGUCGAAUGCCGCAAGGCAUGGCGUACUGCUCAUUAACACGUGGACAACCUACCCUUUGGACGGGGAUAAACCCGGGAAACUGGGUAUAAUACCCGAUAGUCCUCGAAGGCUGGAAUGCGUCGAGGACGAAAGCUCCGGCGCCGAAGGAUGGGUCUGCGGCCUAUCAGGUAGUAGUGGGUGUAGCGUACCUACUAGCCUACGACGGGUACGGGUUGUGAGAGCAAGAGCCCGGAGAUGGAUUCUGAGACACGAAUCCAGGCCCUACGGGGUGCAGCAGGCGCGAAAACUUUACAAUGCUGGCAACAUCGAUAAGGGAACCUCGAGUGCCAGGUUACAAAUCUGGCUGUCGAGAUGCCUAAAAAGCAUUUCAUAGCAAGGGCCGGGCAAGACCGGUGCCAGCCGCCGCGGUAACACCGGCGGCUCGAGUGGUAACCGUUAUUAUUGGGUCUAAAGGGUCUGUAGCCGGCCGGAUAAGUCU